UUGCUGGAUAUACAACUUAGUGGCGGACGGGUGAGUAACACGUGAGUAACCUGCCUCUCAGAGUGGAAUAACGUUUGGAAACGAACGCUAAUACCGCAUAAUGUAUUCUGACCGCAUGAUCGGAAUACCAAAGAUUUAUUGCUGAAAGAUGGCCUCGCGUCUGAUUAGAUAGUUGAUGAGGUAACGGCCCACCAAGUCGACGAUCAGUAGCCGGACUGAGAGGUUGAACGGCCACAUUGGGACUGAGAUACGGCCCAGACUCC
rnacentral:rRNA from 1 species